GACGAACGCUGGCGGCGUGCUUAACACAUGCAAGUCGAACGCUGAACCCGCUUCGGUGGGGGAUGAGUGGCGAACGGGUGAGUAACACGUGGGCAACCCGCCCCCGGCUCUGGGAUAACUCCAAGAAAUUGGGGCUAAUACCGGAUGUGACCGCUGGCCGCAUGGUCUGGUGGUGGAAAGGGUUUCCGGCUGGGGAUGGGCCCGCGGCCUAUCAGCUUGUUGGUGGGGUAGUGGCCUACCAAGGCGACGACGGGUAGCCGGCCUGAGAGGGUGACCGGCCACACUGGGACUGAGACACGGCCCAGACUCCUACGGGAGGCAGCAGUGGGGAAUAUUGCGCAAUGGGCGGAAGCCUGACGCAGCGACGCCGCGUGGGGGAUGACGGCCUUCGGGUUGUAAACCUCUUUCAGCAGGGACGAAGCGCAAGUGACGGUACCUGCAGAAGAAGCACCGGCCAACUACGUG
rnacentral:rRNA from 1 species